rnacentral:rRNA from 1 species
GACGGAGGGCGCAAGCGUUGUUCGGAAUUACUGGGCGUAAAGCGCGCGCAGGCGGGAAGGUAAGUCUGGAGUGAAAUUCCGGGGCUCAACUCCGGAGCUGCUUUGGAUACUGUCUUUCUAGGGACCGGUAGAGGCCGGUGGAAUUCCCGGUGUAGCGGUGGAAUGCGCAGAUAUCAGGAAGAACACCCGUGGCGAAGGCGGCUCUCUGGGACGGUACUGACGCUGAGACGCGAAAGCGUGGGGAGCGAACAGG